CCCUUCCGCCAAUUGCACUAGUGUCUACUCGACCAAGAGGUGUGGAAACUGUUCCUUUUUUUUUGAGGGGAGAAAAUCAUCCAAUGACUUCUCCCGCCUUGGGCAAGGCGAGAGGAAGUGUCAGACUCUUACUGACUAAAAACCACCCCGUUCCUUCUCCUGCUUUUCGAGCCGGAGCCCCGGUAAAUCCGCUAGGUAGUCCGCAGCUCCGGGGAAACUGUUCCUAGGAUAUUUUAGUGACUCACCAGUACGAGGUUGUUGACGGCCUGCAUGAGCGCGUCCUGGUGUAUGGCAUGGCGCAGGUUGUAUGUGUAUAAGUCAGUGACUCACCAGUACGAGGUUGUUGACGGCCUGCAUGAGCGCGUCCUGGUGUAUGGCGCGCAGGUUGUAUGUGUAUAAGUCAGUGACUCACCAGUACGAGGUUGUUGACGGCCUGCAUGAGCGCGUCCUGGUGUAUGGCAUGGCGCAGGUUGUAUGUGUAUAAGUCAGUGACUCACCAGUACGAGGUUGUUGACGGCCUGCAUGAGCGCGUCCUGGUGUAUGGCGCGCAGGUUGUAUGUGUAUAAGUCAGUGACUCACCAGUACGAGGUUGUUGACGGCCUGCAUGAGCGCGUCCUGGUGUAUGGCAUGGCGCAGGUUGUAUGUGUAUAAGUCAGUGACUCACCAGUACGAGGUUGUUGACGGCCUGCAUGAGCGCGUCCUGGUGUAUGGCAUGGCGCAGGUUGUAUGUGUAUAAGUCAGUGACUCACCAGUACGAGGUUGUUGACGGCCUGCAUGAGCGCGUCCUGGUGUAUGGCGCGCAGGUUGUAUGUGUAUAAGUCAGUGACUCACCAGUACGAGGUUGUUGACGGCCUGCAUGAGCGCGUCCUGGUGUAUGGCAUGGCGCAGGUUGUAUGUGUAUAAGUCAGUGACUCACCAGUACGAGGUUGUUGACGGCCUGCAUGAGCGCGUCCUGGUGUAUGGCGCGCAGGUUGUAUGUGUAUAAGUCAGUGACUCACCAGUACGAGGUUGUUGACGGCCUGCAUGAGCGCGUCCUGGUGUAUGGCAUGGCGCAGGUUGUAUGUGUAUAAGUCAGUGACUCACCAGUACGAGGUUGUUGACGGCCUGCAUGAGCGCGUCCUGGUGUAUGGCGCGCAGGUUGUAUGUGUAUAAGUCAGUGACUCACCAGUACGAGGUUGUUGACGGCCUGCAUGAGCGCGUCCUGGUGUAUGGCAUGGCGCAGGUUGUAUGUGUAUAAGUCAGUGACUCACCAGUACGAGGUUGUUGACGGCCUGCAUGAGCGCGUCCUGGUGUAUGGCGCGCAGGUUGUAUGUGUAUAAGUCAGUGACUCACCAGUACGAGGUUGUUGACGGCCUGCAUGAGCGCGUCCUGGUGUAUGGCAUGGCGCAGGUUGUAUGUGUAUAAGUCAGUGACUCACCAGUACGAGGUUGUUGACGGCCUGCAUGAGCGCGUCCUGGUGUAUGGCGCGCAGGUUGUAUGUGUAUAAGUCAGUGACUCACCAGUACGAGGUUGUUGACGGCCUGCAUGAGCGCGUCCUGGUGUAUGGCAUGGCGCAGGUUGUAUGUGUAUAAGUCAGUGACUCACCAGUACGAGGUUGUUGACGGCCUGCAUGAGCGCGUCCUGGUGUAUGGCGCGCAGGUUGUAUGUGUAUAAGUCAGUGACUCACCAGUACGAGGUUGUUGACGGCCUGCAUGAGCGCGUCCUGGUGUAUGGCGCGCAGGUUGUAUGUGUAUAAGUCAGUGACUCACCAGUACGAGGUUGUUGACGGCCUGCAUG